rnacentral:rRNA from 1 species
AUGGGAACGCGAAGAACCUUACCUAGACUUGACAUCUUCUGCAUUAAUCGUAAUGGAUGAAAUCCCUUCGGGGACAGAAUGACAGGUGGUGCAUGGUUGUCGUCAGCUCGUGUCGUGAGAUGUUGGGUUAAGUCCCGCAACGAGCGCAACCCCUAUUAUUAGUUGCUAACAUUAAGUUGAGCACUCUAGUGAGACUGCCCGGGUUAACCGGGAGGAAGGUGGGGAUGACGUCAAAUCAUCAUGCCCCUUAUGUCUAGGGCUACACACGUGCUACAAUGGUGGGAACAAAGAGAUGCAAGACCGCGAGGUGGAGCUAAACUCAAAACCCCAUCCCAGUUCGGAUUGUAGGCUGAAACUCGCCUACAUGAAGCUGGAGUUGCUAGUAAUCGCGAAUCAGAAUGUCGCGGUGAAUACGUUCCCGGGUC